UACGUAGGGGGCAAGCGUUGUCCGGAAUCAUUGGGCGUAAAGCGCGUGUAGGCGGCCAGAAAAGUCCGCUGUGAAAACUCGAGGCUCAACCUCGAGCUGUCGGUGGAAACUUUCUGGCUAGAGUCCGGAAGAGGAGAGUGGAAUUCCUGGUGUAGCGGUGAAAUGCGCAGAUAUCAGGAAGAACACCCGUGGCUAAGGCGGCUCUCUAGUACGGUACUGACGCUGAGACGCGAAAGCGUGGGGAGCAAACAGG
rnacentral:rRNA from 1 species